GCCAGCAGUCAUAUCACCUGCAGUUCAGACCAGAUAAUCUAUCUGAAGCUAAGCCAGAUUGGGCUGGACCACUACUUGGAUGGGAGACUGACUAGGAAAACUGGGUUGCUACUGGAA
rnacentral:rRNA from 1 species